AUGCUUCUUUGGCAGCAUGUACACUAAAACUGGACCACGACAGAGAGGAUUAGCAUGGCUCCUGUGCAAGGAGGAUUUGAACCUUCUGAAAGAGUUCCAUGUUUUG